GAUAUUUCAGUUGUUAAACCUAAUUUACUUGAUACUCAUGAAGAAGAACGUGUGAAAUAUUUCGCUGUAAUGGAUAAACCUAUUGAAUGUGAAUGAACAAAAUUUUGGAUUUUGAGAGCUCGCGACAAGGU